CAGUGCUCGUCGGGGCGCCACGCCCUCCGGGGCGUGGGUGUUCCCGCACCUGCCAAACCGUGUCUACCGUUCCUCUGUUGCCUCGGCGGGCCCGCUGGGCUUUGUGCCCGGCCGCCGGGGGGAUGUUGCCCCCGUGGCAGCACCCCUGGCCCGUGCCCGCCAGAGGACCCUUCCGAACCCUUUGCAAUCUAGUGACGUCUGAGUUGCUCGGUAAAUACAGUUA
rnacentral:misc_RNA from 1 species